rfam:Candidatus Adlerbacteria bacterium RIFCSPLOWO2_01_FTLL_51_16 rifcsplowo2_01_scaffold_21825, whole genome shotgun sequence.
UAUGAUCAGAGUUUGAUCCUAGCUCAGGGUGAAUGCUGGCGGCGUGGAUGAGGCAUGCAAGUCACGGGGGCCGCAAGGCAACCGGCGAACGAGGUAGUAAGACGCAGGUACGCACCGAAGAGUCGGGCAUAGCUAGCCGAAAGGUUAGGUAAUUCCCGAUGGUGUAGCGAUACUAAAGGAGUAAUCCGCUCUUUGAGCGGCCUGCGGAGCAUCAGCUAGUUGGUAGGGUAAUGGCCUACCAAGGCUAUGACGCUUAGGGGAGCUGAGAGGCUGACCCCCACCGAUGGAACUGAGACACGGUCCAUACACCUACGGGUGGCAGCAGCCGAGAAUAUUCGGAGGCUGACCCCCACCGAUGGAACUGAGACACGGUCCAUACACCUACGGGUGGCAGCAGCCGAGAAUAUUCG